rnacentral:rRNA from 1 species
AGAGUUUGAUCCUGGCUCAGGAUGAACGCUGGCGGCGUGCUUAACACAUGCAAGUCGAACGAACCUUCGGGUUAGUGGCGGACGGGUGAGUAACGCGUGGGAAUCUGCCCUCAGGAGGGGGAUAACGGCUGGAAACGGCCGCUAAUACCCCAUAUGCCGAGAGGUGAAAAGAAAUUCGCCUGAGGAUGAGCCCGCGUCUGAUUAGCUAGUUGGUGGGGUAAGAGCUCACCAAGGCGACGAUCAGUAGCUGGUCUGAGAGGAUGAUCAGCCACACUGGGACUGAGACACGGCCCAGACUCCUACGGGAGGCAGCAGUGGGGAAUUUUCCGCAAUGGGCGAAAGCCUGACGGAGCAACGCCGCGUGAGGGAUGAAGGCCUCUGGGCUGUAAACCUCUUUUUCUCAAGGAAGAAGACAUGACGGUACUUGAGGAAUAAGCCACGGCUAAUUCCGUGCCAGCAGCCGCGGUAAUACGGGAGUGGCAAGCGUUAUCCGGAAUUAUUGGGCGUAAAGCGUCCGCAGGCGGCCCUGUAAGUCUGUCGUUAAAGCGUGGAGCUUAACUCCAUUUAAGCGAUGGAAACUACAGGGCUUGAGUGUGGUAGGGGCAGAGGGAAUUCCCGGUGUAGCGGUGAAAUGCGUAGAUAUCGGGAAGAACACCAGUGGCGAAGGCGCUCUGCUGGGCCAUAACUGACGCUCAUGGACGAAAGCCAGGGGAGCGAAAGGGAUUAGAUACCCCUGUAGUCCUGGCCGUAAACGAUGAACACUAGGUGUCGGGGGAAUCGACCCCCUCGGUGUCGUAGCCAACGCGUUAAGUGUUCCGCCUGGGGAGUACGCACGCAAGUGUGAAACUCAAAGGAAUUGACGGGGGCCCGCACAAGCGGUGGAGUAUGUGGUUUAAUUCGAUGCAACGCGAAGAACCUUACCAGGGUUUGACAUCCUGCGAAUCCCUUGGAAACGAGGGAGUGCCUUCGGGAGCGCAGAGACAGGUGGUGCAUGGCUGUCGUCAGCUCGUGUCGUGAGAUGUUGGGUUAAGUCCCGCAACGAGCGCAACCCACGUCUUUAGUUGCCAGCAUUCAGUUGGGCACUCUAGAGAGACCGCCGGUGAUAAACCGGAGGAAGGUGUGGAUGACGUCAAGUCAUCAUGCCCCUUACAUCCUGGGCUACACACGUACUACAAUGCUACGGACAAAGGGCAGCAAGCUCGCGAGAGUUAGCAAAUCCCAUAAACCGUGGCUCAGUUCAGAUCGUAGGCUGCAACUCGCCUACGUGAAGGAGGAAUCGCUAGUAAUCGCAGGUCAGCAUACUGCGGUGAAUACGUUCCCGGGCCUUGUACACACCGCCCGUCACACCAUGGAAGUUGGCCAUGCCCGAAGUCGUUACUCCAACCCUUGUGGAGGAGGACGCCGAAGGUGGGGCUGAUGACUGGGGUGAAGUCGUAACAAGGUA